rnacentral:lncRNA from 1 species
AAACUAAAACCCAGUUAGUUAUUAAGUUACCUCAGAACUGCAGCGCACAAACCUGAGCAAGUUCUGAGGCAACUUUGGUGAGACUUUUUUCUCUAAAGCUAUUAACAGGCGAGAGAGACCCAGGAAAAUAGUGGGGGCCAGAAGGGAAGGAGAGAAAAGAAUUCACGGUGAGCCUUCCUAUUUGAAAAAGAAGCAUUGUAGGCAAGCUCACACCUGAAUGAGUCAAGAAAACGUUAUGAAAUAUCGUCCUGAUUCAGGCAAAAUGGCAGUCAGAUCGACUUGGGCUCAGAUGAUCUAGGCUAGGAAUGCCUGAGCUUUAUUUGCUGUUCAUUCUCCUGGAACAAGUGGGCUACUCAAGAUAUGUAAGUGCUGUGCUCUUUUAUUGCUUUCCCCAGAGGAGAACUCAUAAUGAAGACAAGAGCCAGCUAAAGCUUUUACCCUCUGAUCUCUGACAAUCUCAUUUUCAGGUAAACUAUAUCUGACAGCAGAGGGGAGGCUUUCU